rnacentral:rRNA from 1 species
UACGUAGGGAGCAAGCGUUGUUCGGAUUUACUGGGCGUAAAGGGCGCGUAGGCGGCAAUUCAAGUCAUCUGUGAAAUCUCCGGGCUUAACCCGGAAUGGUCAGAUGAUACUGCUUUGCUAGAGUGCGGAAGGGGCAAUCGGAAUUCUCGGUGUAGCGGUGAAAUGCGUAGAUAUCGAGAGGAACACCUGAGGUGAAGACGGGUUGCUGGGCCGACACUGACGCUGACAGCGCGAAAGCCAGGGGAGCAAACGGG